UACGGUAGGGUCCGAGCGUUGUCCGGAAUUAUUGGGCGUAAAGGGCUCGUAGGCGGUCUGUUGCGUCGGGAGUGAAAAUUCACAGCUCAACUGUGGGCUUGCAGCUGAUACGGGCGGGCUGGGAUUCGGUAGGGGAGACUGGAAUUCCUGGUGUAGCGGUGAAAUGCGCAGAUAUCAGGAGGAACACCGGUGGCGAAGGCGGGUCUCUGGGCCGAUAUCGACGCUGAGGAGCGAAAGCGUGGGGAGCGAACAGG
rnacentral:rRNA from 1 species